AUAGUGCCCUUCUUCCUAAAGUCAUGGAGCUUUUCACAAAUAAUGUAUAUAUUCAUAACACUGAAAUGCUGAUACAUCUUGUUGAGACUGUGUGAUUUCUUUUGAUGCACACGGGAUGACGUUAAAUUUUAACAGAGGACUUUGACUUGUCCAAUGAGUACUGUUGGAUUUCCCAGGCUUUACUGUCUUUUUGCAAGUCGAAAGCAGUACAGUUACAGUAAACAGGCACAAGAUGAUUAUGAACACACGGUCCAGACCUCCGUAUUUACAGACAACAGACACCACCUCGGUUCCUUUGAGAGACCUCCUGGCCAUGAUGUGUCAUUCAUGUAUUUCAGAAGACUAAUGGUCAAAGAGCGGGUCCUGCUGUGAUGGCCAUCUCAGGAAGGGCUGGGAUACAAAGACGGGAGCCCAGUUUUGAGACAUCACACUCCUUACUCAGGGAUUUUAUUCACUUUGCAGAAAGAACUAUUAAAUAAAAACAUAGGGAUCACUUUGCACUGAGACACAAGGCAGUAUACACACAGACUUCAAGGAGCAUGCAGAUAAGAGAUGCAGAGAGUACUGCUAAACUGAAGAUGGAUUAAGAGGUCUUCUGGGGCUGUGCAUUGAAAACCACAUUUUAAUUCUGAAUAAAGGAGCACCAAGUCUGGUGCUACUGAAGACGUACUUGCAACUUCUUUGAGCUGAGCACAUAUCAAUGAACAUCCAGUCAAACGCAUCUAGAUGGAUGAGAAGUAGAACUGACAGCAAAUAAUGGGUCUGAAGAACUACUUGCUGCUAAACUGGAAAGCUCCUUUCCUGACUGCCUACAGUAAAACAGCCCAUUAAGAGUUGCUUCUUUGAUUAAAAACAAGCUGAGGUGCAUUAUGAGCCUAAUUCAAAGAGGGAUGACAAAAAGGUUUACAGGAUGCAUAAAAAGCAAGUAGAUGAGAUUUAGACUGGCACACAGUGUGUGAUAAAAAUCAAAUAUGGAACAUAAUGGGACAUAUGGAAACAUAUCUUUUGUGCAAGGAAGGAUGAAUCACAAGUUCACAGCUGGAAUUUAUGUGGAUUCUUAUUUAGAGAAGCAUCUGCAGCCACUGUUUAGCUACAUUCCCACAUCAACAACAAAAUGGUGCCACAGAAGAGAACGCGUGCAUCAAGCUCCAGCUGGUAUCUGCGCCCACCACUCCUUUCUUUCCCCCGAAGCCACAUUUACUCAGCUUUCUUUUUACAGUUUGUGGGUGUAUAAACAUGCAUAUGCAAGUUAGAGUAUAGAAUCAAAACUCCACACCUGACCACUUCUGAAUUUUAGAAGUGAUGGGGAUGGGGCAUGGAAGGGAGAGGCUCAGAAAAUAAGAAGAAAAAAAAAAUUAAUAAACAUUUAAAUCAGUCUUAUGCCUAUGACUUUCCUUCGUGCACUUCACGUAUUACCACACUUUGUGUACUUUACAUACUAGAAAAAUUUUAUUUGAUCUUGGUAUUAUUAAAAAAGCCUUUAAAACUGUAAAUUGAUAAAUCAUAGAAAAUGUUAUUUCCAUAGGUCUAUUUUGGGAAAAACAAAUUUCAACUUUGCAAUUACAAAACUGCAUAUGCAAGGCAUAUGCAGAAACAUUUUCACACCCAACUCAUAGCUUCCCAACAUUAGUAAAAAGCAGAAGAGGAAUAACAGAAAAACAAAAUUUAAUAUCUAAGCAACUUUCAUGCAAAACAUGCUUAAAUACUAACUAAAGAUGUUUAAAGUGGGGUUAGCUUUGGCUUGGGAACUGUGAUGUUGUACUACUUUCUAAGAGCACUGGACCUUCUGCUAUAAGGUAAAUCACUUAAUUUCAUUCCCUUCUGAAAGAUUUCAUUAAUGAAGAUAAAGAUUAAUGAAAAGCACAUUUUUGUGAAAAAAAAAAAAAAAGAAAAAAGCCUGCAACUAUUUUACCUGAGUCACUGUUGUCAUAAUUGUUGUUUUGUUUUUUUUUUUAACAGUUAACAUACCUUCUUGUAAAUACAUAAUUAAAAUUUUGAAGAACCUGGAUUUUAGAGGCCACGUGCCUAUAAAUUUUGCAUUAUUUGUAACUAAAGCUUUAAUGUUACAAACCCUUCCAGAAAUUUUGCUUCCUUCACUUUAAGUGUACUUUUGCUCUGCUCCAUCACAACACAAGCAAAGUAAGAAUUACCUCUUCCUAAGGAGAAUGUAGGAAAAGCCCCCAGACCAGUUUUCUGAUUCAUGCUUUUAUUGAUUUCAUUGAGAACUGGGCUAAGCACUUGAAAUUAAUUAAUUUGCUAGUGUUGUAAAGUACUGCUUUUCAACAGGAAUCUUUUCUCUAAGUGCAAUAUUUUGAGAUACCUCGUUUUUGACCUAUAUAUAUGCUGAUGUACACACAUAUAUAUAAAUAUACAUAUAUGUAUAUAUAUGUAUACCUAUGAUCUGACUUCCUCUAACAACACUUGACAAUGGAAAAAAAAAAUUGAAAUUAUCUUAAAUCAGUUAUCAGGUAAGUUUGACAUUCAUCAGGAAUCCAACAACCAGCGCACAAUUCCAAGUCAAUUAAAAUGCUUCCAUUGUCUUUCUUAUUUACACCAAUAUCUCAGAUCCAGCAUCUCAGUUGGUUUUCAAGAGACACUUCAGGAGAAUUCACAAAAUACUGCAGUAAUAUUCUCUUUUAAUUUUUUUGUCUUUCACAUUCAAAAUGAUUUAUUUUGUACUUUGAAGAGAAUGUAAAGAUGGAACCAAAAUGGGAAGAAAAGAGAAAUUAUAAAUGGCAUACAACAAGCACAAUCAUCCAUAUACAUUUCUUUAGACAAGGCAAUGCUUACUGUUCAGCUAUCAAUAUUUUAACCAUUUUUUAAAUUUAUUUAUUUUUUUUUUUUUUUAAAGAAGAAGAACGAUGGAAAACAUAGUAAGUAAAAUUUAUGGCAGUGAGAUCUCCUGUCACACAGACAGAUGCUACACCUUUCUUCCUGUACAGGAACCAAAAUAUGUUGGAGAGUUGAGAGGCUUGGUUUCUAGCAGAAAUGAGGAUUAAAAUUUAUUUUUUCAAAAGAAUCUGAACAUUCUUUCUUAAUCCCUCUCCCUACCCUUUCUGAACUGAUCAUUUGUGUUGCAUCAGCAACCUACUGGUUGACAGAAGGAUCUGUUAAAAAGUGUAGCAGACUGUGUAAGGUGCUCUUCUUGCAGUGUACUCCACUUGCAUGAAGUCAGUGUUUUGGUAUGCUGUCUGAUGGUGUAACCAGUUUUCUCCCUGAUAUCAAUGAUGCUGUGCAUACACUUUUUUUAAUGCAAAUUAUGGCUUUGGAGAGGUCAUGUCUUCAACUGUUGAAUUAAUAAGUAAUUAAUCUGUGAUACAAAGAACAUAUUUGCAAUCAUCAAUCACCUUUCAGAUUAUUAUAUUGUUUGUAGAUCAUUAUAAAAACCAUUGAAGAUCAGACACUUCUUUGUGUCUUUAUGCACAAAGAUAUAAGAAAGGUUAUGAAUAAAGCUCUUUUUGGGGAAGCCUGCAUAGACAGCAACUCUCUUGCUAUCUUUAAGGACACCAGCAAUUAAAGAGAGAGCUGUUUUAUAAAACUGUUUGUAUACAGUUAUACUUGAGGUAUAUGAUAAUUUAGAAAAUGAAUUUUUGUUUAGGGCUUUGAAUGUUAAAAAGGAAGAAAGAAAGAAAGAAACCGAAAAAAACUCUCUAAAUAAAUCACAUUAUUUAAUCUUGAACAAGAAAUGGAAUCUUUGCAGACUGUACUACAAAUCAUAAAGUUCUUGAACAGCUACUAAUUUUUCUUCAUUUAGAAGCAGUAAAAUAGAAGAUGCUUUUCCUUUCUGUACCUGAUUUUUAGAACCUCAUCUUCUGUGCAUUCUAAUUUAAAAGAAAAACUAAUAUUAGAUAAAGCAACACAUAAUUUGACAGCAUACCAGUUAAAUUCUGACAGGGUCAAUAAAAUGAGAGCUUGCAGGAGUCCCAGAUGAGGAACACUUUCAUGAAUGCCUCCAUUGUGUAAACUCUCCGUAUAUCCUGCCUGCAAAUGACAGUCAUAUGCCACCAGCUGCAGGAGGCAUUCCAGCAAUGUCAACUGCUGUGGGGCAUUAAGGCAGGGUAGAUGAGUUGGUACUUCUUUAUACUUUUCCCUGGAUAGAGACGGCCGUCACGCUUAACUCAUUAAAGGCUUAUUUUUCUAAAGACUAUGAUGUUUAUUUAGAAAUGUAAGAAAAUAUAUAAUUAAAGUCUUGCUAAUGGACCUCCUCAUUUUAAUAGUAGUUUUAUUAUAAAAAGCCAGCUGGAAGUAAUUAUUUUUUUCCUCGCAUACUCUUCAUUAGCUUGUACCUUCCUCCCUCCUAAGACAUCUAUUUCAGACAUUCUUAUCAAACUGCUCAGAGAACAGCCACUGAAAGUUAUGACAGAAACUGUGAAAGCUCCAAUAUCCACUACUCAGAAAUACAGUUGGUACCAAUUCUAAGAAGACUAUAUGACUGUGAAAGCUAUUUCACAGGUUGUCAUAAAAUUUAAGUUCUAGAUCAUAACUAUCAGUAAAAAUUACUUGGGAUAAUUUUAAUUAAGAACAGAAUCUGAGCACAGUGAUAGAGGUUUGUAGUUCUAAUUGCUUUAAAACAACAAACUGAUGUCCAAGCUGAUUAUUUUUUGUCUACUAUUUCUGUUGGAAAUAAAUAAAAGAAAAAGUAAAAAAAGUUUAAAAAAAAGUUUUUAAUCAUAUUACAAAUUUUAUUCCCCCAUCUUUCUUGAUUUUUAUUGUUUUGUCAGAUGUUCACAAAGACCAUACUAGAAAUACUGGAAUGCAAAUACACUGCAAACUGUUUUUUAAAUUAUAGCAAUGUCUUGGUUCAGAAACUGCGCAACGCAGAGAUCAAAUUGAGAUGCUUUUCAGCACCUUCCAUGUGGUAAGCCAAAGCAUCACACAUUCUUAUCAUACUCUUGCAUACAGGCACACUGAAAUGCAAAACACUGAAGUCUUUGCAUGUCAGCACCUACAUUCAGCCACUCUUGGAAGGGAUGCUUCUCUUCUCUACCCCUCAGCUCUUUAUAUGGUGCCUUAUAUCAUCAAGACUGCUUUAAUUAUUCAAUUACUACCAAGAAGAGGAUUUUUGUUGGUUUUUUUUUUUAAUUUU